CCAGGGCCCGGGACGUGGUGAACUUCCUGAAAAGGCGACCCCGGGCCGGAGCACGGCCGUGGCUUUUGUUCCGAUGUUGUUUCUUGCCUCACAGUCCUUAUUUCUCAAUUACUGCAAAAUGAAAAAAUGAAAACAAAGGAGCUGACAUCAGAGAGAGGUGCAGGGCGCGCUCGUUAAGCAGCAGGAAUGCAGCUCUUGUGCGUCAGCUGCGUUUUUGUUCUCCACCUUGGGAAAGGGGGUAGGUAGUCUGGGCUUUGCAGGCUCUAGCCUGUUGACGUGGCGAGUCUGGGCGGCAAGGGUUCUCUCUGUGGCUGUCAGCGUCUCCGAACAAGGAGGGAAAGCAGCAGGAUGAACCGGAGAAUGGCCGGUCUGCAGUUUCACCAACAUUGUCUGUGUGAAUUCAUCCUGCUCGCUGUGAGAUGUGAAAUUUAUAACAAAGGAGACAGUUGGAGAGACAGCCCUUGUUCUUGGACAAGAAGGCUCGACGGCAUAAAAAUGUCAGUGCUCCCCGGGUUGAUACGUACACUUAUUACAAUCCAUAAAAAUGCCAACUUUUUUUUCUGGAGUUAAAUAAGUUGGUUUGAAUGCCCAAAUGGAAAGAUAAACAUACAAAAAUAGGAAAGCCAUAAAAAGAGAAAAACUCUACUAAGAAUGUGGCACUGAUGCAUAAAGACCAGUGAAAUAGAAGUCUAGAAAUAGACACGGGCACAUGUGAAAAUGUAGCGUGUGGUCCACAGGACUUCUCCAUACCUGGAGAAGAGACAGACUUUGUAACAAAUGGUUUUGUCAUAGGUAUUUGAAAAAGGAUAAAAUUAGAUCCCUUUGUCACACCGUAAACUAGAACACAACUACAACGACCUAGAAAUCUAAAUGUAAAUAACGAAACCACACAAGUGCUUUUAAAAUGAUGGAUGAAUUCAUUUAUAAUCGGUGCAAGCAGAUAUCCUGUCUAUGGUAGACAAAAUCCAGUUCCAAAACAUUGAAAGGUUGACAAUUUGUGUGCGUGAUUUUUAGAAAAAUCAACAUAGAGGCUGGCAUUGUGGCACAGUGGGUUCAGUCACUGCCUCAGAGGCCAAUGUCCCGUAUUGGAGCGCCAGUUUAAGACCCAGCUGCUCCCCUUCCAAUCCAGCUCCCUGCUAGUGUGCCUGGGAAGGCAGCGGAAGACAGCUCAAGAGUUCGGGCCCCUACCAUCCACGUGGGAGACCAGGAAGGAGUUUCUGGAUCCUGGCUUUGGCCUGGCCCAGCCCUGGCUGAUGCAGCCUUUCGGGGAGUGAACCAGUGGAUGGAAGCUCUCUUUCUCUCUCUCUGUCACUCUGCCUUUCAAAUAAAGAAACUAAAUAUUUUUUUAAAAAAUCAAUAUAAACAAAACCAAAACAGGCAACUGAGUCACUGGGGAUCAUAAUUAUAACACGCAGUAGAGAUAAGGGGCUGAUCUCCCUAAUGCACGUCUUCAAUUAGGAAAGGCCAAAAUCUCGAUUGAAAAGUGAGCAGAGGACAGAAAUGCACAGUUCACGAAAGCUGGGAUAAAAUAGGCCGUUCAGACACAGGAAAAGACGAGAAAUAGAAAUUGAAACCACGUGACAUCCCAGUUCUUUUUUUUUUUUUUUUUUCCAACUAUUUAUUUCUUUGAAAGGCAGAGUCACAGAGAGGCAGAGGCAGAGAGAGAGAGAGAGAGAGAGAGAGAGAGAGAGAUCCCCCAUCCACUGGUUUACCCCCCAAAUGGCUGCAAUGACCAGAGCUGGGCCUCUCUGAAGCCAGGAGCCAGGAGCUUCGUCUGGGUCCCCUCACGCGGAUGCAGGGGCUCACGCACUCGGGCCAUCCUCCUCUGCCCUCCUCCAGGCCAUAACAGAGAGCUGGAUCAGAAGUGGAGCAGCCAGGUCUCGAACCAGCGCCCACCUGGGAAGCCGACACUGCGGAAGGUAGCAUUCUGCGCUACGCCACAGCGCCGGCCCCGGGGUUCCAUUUCUUACCGUUCACUUUGGCAGAUGUAGAUGAUCUCUACCCUCUGUUAGGAAGGUUGCUGGGGCAGCCCUUGCACCGUUGUUGGGUAAGUGCAAAAUGCAUAAAGCCGGGCCGGCGCCGCGGCUCACUAGGCUAAUCCUCCACCUAGCGGCGCCGGCACACCGGGUUCUAGUCCCGGUCGGGGCGCCGGAUUCUGUCCCGGUUGCCCCUCUUCCAGGCCAGCCCUCUGCUGUGGCCUGGGAGUGCGGUGGAGGAUGGCCCAAGUGCUUGGGCCCUGCACCCCAUGGGAGACCAGGAAAAGCACCUGGCUCCUGGCUCCUGCCAUCGGAUCAGCGCGGUGUGCCGGCCGCAGCGUGCCUGCUGCGGUGGCCAUUGGAGGGUGAACCAACGGCAAAGGAAGACCUUUCUCUCUGUCUCUCUCUCUCACUGUCCACUCUGCCUGUCAAAAUAAAUAAAUAAAUAAAUGCAUAAAGCCCACAGCCGGGAAUCUGUACGCCCCUCACCUCACUGACCCACCCCACGCGGAGGAGUUGGCCCUGCAAACACUCCUCCACAGGUAGGAGACAACGGAUGAGUAAGCCCAUUACCCAGCCCUGGUUUCCACUGGAAACAACCCGAAUGCCAUUCAGAGGAGGCUGAUCCAGUAAAUGAUGAUGAAUCUGUGCAGUAGAUUGCUACGCGGCUGGAAACAGCCGUGAGGAGGGUACAGCCGUGAGGAAGGUUUCUAGGGACUCGGCUGGAACAAUUUCCAGGAUAUAUUGUUAAGCAGAAAGGAGCCGCGCACCGGGGGACGUGACCACCUGCUGGGUUUCAUGCGUCUCUAUGUGAGUGCAUUUUUUUCCUGAAAAGGAAUACAGGAAAGAUAAACCAGAAAUCAAUGAGAGAAAUUAUCCAUGAAGUUUAGGGGGCUGGGGUGAAAGUAACAGGGAUGAGAAUGAGGCUUUUUAAAGUUUUAAUAGUUGGGUUGAUAUCUGUCGUACUUAGAGAUAUCUUUCUAUUUAUAGCCCUGUUCCUUUUGUUUUUAUUUUUCGGUUCCCCUUUUUUUCUGACCUCUAUAAUUCUUUGUACUUAUUUUUCACUUGAUUUAAAAGGCAGAAAACCCCACACACACUGAGUUAGAGACAGAGGAAGGAAGAGAUGUUCCAUCCACUGGUUCACUCCCCCCAAAAGGCUUAAAACAGGGCUUAAACAGCCCUUACAAAAGGGCUGGUCCAGGCUGAAGCUGGCAGUCUGAACCUCUCCCAGGUCUCCCAGGUGGGUGGCAAGGACCCAGAUGUUUGCCCCAUCGUCUGCUGCCCCCCAGAAGGUAUUAGCAGGAAGCUAGAGUUGGAAGCAGAGUUGGAACUCCAACCAGGCGCUCCAAUAUGGGACGCAGGUGCCCCCCAAGCAGCAGCCCAACUGCUGUACCCCACGCCUCUCCCCUUUUACACGUUGUAGGGCUUUAGCUAAACAUCUUGCAAGACUCCAUUUUCCCUCCUCUGUUGGCAUGUCAGCCAUUCUUCCUUUAGGAGGUAUUUCGGUGCUUACAGAACGCAUUUGCCACUACUCCAGGUCCCGUCUCAAAUAACGCCGCCUCCUGCUCCUGAUCCAGUAAAUGAUGAUGAAUCUGUGCAGUAGAUUGUGCAGGGCCCUCGGAACAGAACGCUCUCAAUGGCUCCCUCACGACCCUCAGAACACUGUGGCCACACAUGUCACUGACCACGGGCAUCGGCAGGCAGCUCGAACCGGGAGGAGAGUUGGGCGUGGAACCCAGGCAGCCUGGGAGGGGACGCGGACCCCGCAUGGGCCAAACACCCACCUCUCUUCUUCCCUGUGUCGCUGUGUGCAGAAGUCCAGCCUGGUGGAUUUUUCCUUCGGUCUGUUUCACGUCACUGCUUGCACAGUCCUGAGAGAAGUCGCAUGUGAUUCUUAUCCUUGUUCCUGUGCAGGUUUAGGACAUUUCUACAGGCAUAUUUCAAGCUCACUGAUUCUCUCCACGAUGGUGUCCGGUCUACAGUAGAUGGACCCAGCAAAGGAAUUCUUCAUUUUUGUCCCAGCAUUUUCUGUCUCCAGCAGUUCCUUCUGACUGCCCGCUGCUUCCAUCACCCACCUGUUCUUGCAUGUUGUCCAUUUCCUGUAUUAAAUCCCUUACCAUAGUAACCACAGCCACUUUUAAUUCCCAGCCUAAUGAUUUCAACAUCUGUAUCACAUCUGAGUCUGGUCCUGACCCUGCCUGUCUCCUGUGUGUGUGCGUGUGUGUGUGUGUGUGAGUGUGAGUGUGUUUGUGUGUGUUUCUGGCCUUUUAGCCAGCCUGUAAUUUUUUUGCAAAGUCAGACAUGAUGCAUCAGAUAAUAGGAGAUGAGGUCAACAGGCUUCGGUGUGAGGUUUUGUGUUUAUCGGGCUGAGGGUUGGACAUACGUCCGAAGCUUCCAUCUCUUCCAGUGUGUUUAGUUUUUUCCUUUGGGUUUCCCUAGAAACUUCCUUUUAGAAAGUCUGUGUCUUUCAGGUGUGCCCCACUGCUGUUAUCCUGAAUCCCGCUGGUGAGGUGGGGAGACCCUGAGGAGCAGAGACAGCUGUAAUCAUAGGAUUAGGUCUCGGGGGUGUUUUUCAGAGCCUGUCGGAGUCCUGGGCUGCGACCUUCAGAGGAAUCUCUCCUUCUCUGUUUUUUCUCCUCUUAUGCGAGACAUGGACACCAGAGUGGGGCCGGCUUAUGCCACUGCCCUGGCCCUCCAUCUGAGAAGAUGGUAGGUGUCCCCUGGGAGCAGGAUUUGUUGUUGAGAACAGAAUUUCCUAUGAGUAUUUUUAGAUGAUGGCUUUUUGCUUUGGCUGCCUCGAGCAUGUUGGAAUCUUCUCCAACCCGCACAGAGAGAACCUGCGGAGUCUCUUGGAGGUCGAGUGGGGCCCCUGGGCCUGGGCCUCCGGCAGUCGGAGCGCGACUCCCCCCAGUGAUCAGGCCCUGGCCCAGCGGCCUCUGCUCUCCACGGCCGUGAGGUUACUCUUCGCGUUCACCCGAGUCUCCGAACUUCAAGGCAGCGUUUGGCCCCGGGGCCUCACUUCCGUGAUGUUGGUUUUGUUGAUUUUCAGUUUGUUCAGCUUUUUUCUUACUGUGAAAUCUUCUGAGCCUUUUACGUGUGACAGCUGAAACUCGGAGUCUGUUUCCUUUUUUUAAUUCCUAUUUUGCCCAGUUUUCUUUUGGUUGUUUGAUCAUUUUUGGCAAUUCCAUCUUGAUUGACUGAUUUAUAGUGCUUUGUACAUUUCUUGGUUGUUGCUCUAGGUGUUACAUUAUAUACAUGUAACAUUUCACUGUCUGCUGGUGCUGAUAUUUUAUCAGAUUGUAGAACGUGGAAUCUUAAUUCUUUUUAUGUCCUUUUGUGCCCUCACAUUUAUGAUGAAGUCGUCUCUGCAUUCCUUAAGAAAGACAUCAGAGGGGUCGGUGCCAUGGCUCACUUGGUUAAUCUUCCGCCUGCGGCGCUGGCAUCCCAUAUGGGUGCGGGGUUCUAGUCCCGGUUGCUCCUCGUCCAGUCCAGCUCUCUGCUGUGGCCCAGGAGUGCAGCGGAGGAUGGCCCAAGUGCUUGGGCCCUGCACCGGCAUGGGAGACCACGAGAAGCACCUGGCUCCUGGCGUAGCUCCGGCCGUAGCGGCCAUUUGGGGGGUGAACCAACGGAAGGGGGGCCUUUCUCUGUCUGUCUGUCUGUCUCUCUCUCUCUCACACUGUCUAACUCUAUCUGUCAAAUAAAAAAAAAAAAAAAGAAUGACAUCAGAGUUACAAUUCUUGCUUCAACCAUAAAGAAUAAUUCAGAAAAUGCAAGAGAAAAAGCAGGCCUAUUGCGUUCCUUUGUCUUUCCUGUCCGAGACACCUUGCCCCCGUUCCUUCCUGCUGGGAGGCUGUCUGUGAGCCUCCCCUCUGGCACAGGCAGGCGAGCUCUGCUACCCGGCUGUCCCUCCAUUCCUGGAGGAUCCGGUCACGGGAUGCAGAAUUCCAGAUUGACAGCUCACAAAAAGCGCCCUGCCACUUCCUGCUGACGUCUGUGGCGUCUGGCAGGAAGUCGACCAGCGUGCAAACUUCUCCCCGUAGGCAAAGUCUCCCUGUGUCUCUCCGCUUUCUUUUUUUCUUGUGUUUUAUAAUCAGGGUUUUCACAAACUUGACUGUGACCUGGUUUUCUUCUAGUUUACCCUGAUUGGGGUUACUCAGAUUCUUAAAUUUGAAAUGUGAUGUUUUUUUGCCAAGUGUGGGAGCGUGUUCUCUCCCAACGUCUUCUCUCCCGGGCUCUGAGGACACGGAUGCUAGAUCUUCCGUCCUAGCUCCCAGACCCCUGCGGCUCUCUUCUGCUUUCUCCAGUGUCUGUUCUCUGCUGCUCUGAGUGGCUGACUCCCAUUUUUCCUGCAAGUUCACUAAUGCUUUCCUCUGUCGUUUUCAUUCUUUUGUUAAGUAAUUUUUAUUUUGGUUGCUGUAAGUUUUUUUUUUUAAUUUUUCUUUUUAAAAAAUAUCUUCUGUUUUUGUCCUGAAACUUUCUAUAUUUCCAUUCAUUUCAAGGGUGUUCAGAAUUGCACACUGAAGCAUCCUGUAAUGGAGUUUUUUAAAGUCUUUGUCAGGUAGGGGUCGGCAUUGUGGUGCAGCAGGCCAAGCCAUAGGCUGUGACGCUGGCAUCCCAUAUGAGCACUGGCUGUUUCUACUUCCGAUCCAGCUCCCUGCUCAUGUGCCUGGGAAAGCAGCAGAUGCUGGCCCAAGUCCUUGGGCCUCUGUACCCAUGUGGGAGACCGGAAUGGAAUUCUAGGCUCUUGGCUUCAGCCUGGCCCUGCCGUAGCUUUUGUGGCUAUUUGGUGAGUGAACCAGCAUUUGGGAGAACUCUCCCUCUCUCUUUGUCUCUCCCUCUCUAUGUAACUCUACCUUACAAACAGAUAAAUAAAUCUUUUUUUAAAGAUUUAUUUUAUUUAUUUGAAAGGCAGAGUUACAGAGAGAGGUAGAGACAGAGAGAGAAGUCUUCUGUCCAUUGGUUCACUCCCCAAUGGCUGCAAUGGCAGGAGCUGUGCCGAUCCAAAGGCAGGAGCCAGGAGCUUCUUCCGGGUCUCCCAUGCGGGUGCAGGGGCCCAAGGACUUGGGCCAUCUUCUACUGCUUUCCCAGGCCACAGCAGAGAGCUGGAUUGGAAGAGGAGCAGCCGGGACUCAAUCCAGCGCCCAUAUGGGAUGCUGGUGCUUCAGGCCAAGGCAUUAACCUGCUGCGCCACAGCGCUGGCUCCCAGAUAAAUAAAUCUUUAAAAAAAAUCUUUGUCAGAUAAUCCCAACAUCCAUGUCACCUCAGUUCGCAUCUGUCUCAGUUUGCCAGGACCGCCGUGACCAGUGACCAGAAACUAGGUGACUUGGGACAACAGAGACGGAGUCCCUGGUGUGAGAUCAAGACCUCCGUGGAGCUGGUUCCUUCCGGAGGCUACCGCGGGAGCAGCUGCCCCGUUCUUUCCUGUUGGCCUCUGGUUGCCGUGGGCAGCCGUAUUCCCGUAAGUGGAGCUGUCUACUCCAGGGGUUUUUCAAUUUUUUUAAAAAACUUUCUUUUUCCCUCUUUCUUUUUGGUUGGGUUUUCCAUUUUUAAAAGCUUUUUUCUUCAUCCUUAUCUGCCAAGGGUUUGUCCGUGAUUUGGUCUUGCUCUGGGCGCCAGCGUUUGCGCCUUGAUCUCCGAGGAUCAGGGUUAUGCUCAGGUCAGGUCCCCCGCAGAGUGCGGGCACAUCUGCAUUUCCAAUGCAGGGAAGUUUGCUUCCAUCCUCUGCAGCAGGUGCUUUGGAAUUCCAGUCUGGAAACUCACCUUGAAUAGAAGGGGUGUGUGUGUGUGUGUGUGUGUGUGUGUGUGAUGUUUGUGCAUGUGUGUGCAUGUGUGUGGUAUGUGUCUAUGUGUAUGUGUGUAGGUGUGUGUAUGCACAUGUGGGGAAUAUGUGGGUUUGUGGUAUGUGUGUGGAUAUGUUUAGGUGCAUGGUGUGUGUAUGUAUAUGUGUGCAUGUGUAUGUGUGUGGAUGUGUCUGUAUAUGUUUAUGUGUAUAGUAUGUGUGUGUAUGUGUGUAUAUGUUUGUGUGAGCAGUGUGUAUAUGUAAGAGUGUGUAUGUGUGUAUGUGAGUGUGUGGAUGUGUGUAUAUGUUUAUGUGAGCAGUGUGUAUAUGUGAGAGUGUGUGGAUGUAUAUGUGUGUGUAUGUGUGUGAUGCAUGUGUAUGUGUGUGGAUGUGUCUGUAUAUGUUUAUGUGUAUAGUAUGUGUAUGUGUGUAUAUGUUUAUGUGUGCAGUGUGUAUAUGUGAGAGUGUAUAUGUAUGUGUAUGUGUGUGAUACAUGUGCAUGUGUGUGGAUGUGUCUGUAUAUGUUUAUGUGUAUAGUAUGUAUAUGUGUGUGUAUGAGUGUAUAUGUUUGUGUGUGCAGUGUGUAUAUGUGAGAGUGUGUGGAUGUAUAUGUAUGUGUAUGUGUGUGAUGCAUGUGUAUGUGUGUGGAUGUGUCUGUAUAUGUUUAUGUGUAUAGUAUGUGUAUGUGUGUGUAUGUGUAUGUGUAUAUAUGUUUGUGUGUGCAGUGUGUAUAUGUGAGAGUGUGUGGAUGUAUAUGUAUGUGAGUGUGUGGAUGUGUGUAUGUUUGUGUGUGCAGUGUGUAUACGUGAGAGUGUAUAUGUGUGUGUAUGUGUGUGAUACAUGUGUGUAUGCAUAUAUGUGUGUGAGUGUGUGGAUGUGUGUAUAUGUUUAUGUGAGCAGUGUGUAUACAUGAGAGUGUGUAUGUAUGUGUAUGUGUGUGAUACAUGUGUGUGUAUGCAUAUGUGUGUAUGUGUAUGUGUGUGUGUGUAUGUGUUCCCUCUCUCUGGAGUCACCGCCGUCUGACCAGCAGUCCUGCAGCCGCCUCCAUGGAGCCCACCGAGUCACAGAGUGGCCGUGCCUCGUACUGGGGGCCCACAGGGCCAUGGUGGGAUGUGAUCUGACACCAGCUCAGCUCCACGGAUGCCCCCGUUCCGUGCUGCCACUCAGCAGAUUGCCCUGGGCCGCUGUUGCCGUGUUUCGGUCUCUUCUCGUGACGGGGAAAGCCCUCCCGAGGCCACGCUCAGUGCUGGAACACACGGCGUGGGGCGGGGGGCUCCGUGACCCCUGUCAUGCAGGAUUUCACGCCCCAGGCCUCGACAUGCUUCCCAAAGGCAGUGAAGUCUUCAGAAAUACUUUUACCCUUUCCUCCGCGGUUCCGGGGCGGAAGGAGGAGAGCGAGUGUGGACUCAGGACGCUGUUACGGGAAGUGGCCUCCUGCCUGCCCAGAGCUCGGAAGGGCAAGUGCAGCUCCACAGCGCACAGAUGCCGUGGCAUUCCAGUUAUCUUAAUUAACUCCUCACCAGGCGUUUGCUUGAUAACUGUAUUAAGCCUGGAUCAUAAUAACAACCCUUUGGAAGCUUACUUACCAAUACUUUAGGUGUUUCAAUCAAAAAACUUAAAUUGCAAAAUUACAUAUUUCGGGUGUGUUUUAACUCGGGCAACAAAAGUGAAGAGGCAACACAGAAUCUCUGAACAUCGAUGAACUUCCUGCUCCUAUGCACAAUUAUAGUGUUUUCGAAAAAUCACAAAAAAGAAGAGGCUGUGAUAUUUCCCCUCUUCACGGCAAUCCUUCCCCUGGCUUCGACUCCAGAGCCAGGCAGGGUAACUGCUACCUGUUGUGAUUGGUGUUCACUUUCAGCGUGGGUGAUCAGCCAGAAUGUGUGUGGACAAAAAUAGCGAUUUUGCCCACCCCCAAUCCUCUUCCUUUUAGGUCCCCCACCACCGCUUCAGUUUGCCCGUAAUUGUACCGUUCCCAUAACAACAGCCCGAUAACUGGAUCUUGGUGCAGGGCUUCUAACAGGGUUGUCCGCAAAGCCGUUGGCAAUGCCGUAAGACCCUGUGUAGCAGCAUCUCACAAAAGAGACAGCUUUCGGGGGAACGAUUCUUGGCAGCUCCAAAUCAAACUUGCAGCCGAUUACGGCCGCUGCGGGUCUGCACCGAGGCACAGCGGCCCGUGUUUCUCCUGCGUUCCUCCCAGGUGCUCAGCCUUAGCACUGUCGUUCUCUCGUGGCCUGUCUGGGACACAGAAAAAUUCACACACAGAGAGAAAACACGCAACAAAAGCCCUCUGUGUGGAUUGUCCCACAUCGCGGUCAUGAUCAGGGGACAGCAUUCUCCUGAGGUCUCGCGGCUGCCGGCUGUUACGCGGCAGCUCCGGGAAUCCAGACACCUUUAUGCACAUGUAUCUUUCCCUCUUUAUUUGUGCCGAGCCACUGUGUGAUUUUUGGGGAGCAAAUGUGUUGUUCAGGGAACGGGCGCUGGCUGGAGGGGAAGCUGCCUUUGUGGGGGCCUGCGGGGCGCCUGCACCUCAGGUCAGGGUCUCCCCACCUGCAGCUGUGUCGACUUGCUGCUCAUAGCAAGACAGCCACUGCGCAUAAUCCCGCAGUGGAAUGUCACGUUCUGUGGGAAUUUAGGCCUGGGGCUGUGCAAGCUGAGACGAUGGUGGCAGGGACAAGCAAUCCUGCUCAUCUUCAAACGCUGUCGCAGGGUCGGUUACCACUGCAGUAUUGUACCUGAGCCACAGGUGUGAUAGCCAUGGAGGGAACUGUGAACACAGAGCCCCUUUUCCAUAGAGCGGACAAGACUCCCCUCCAGCCUCGCCGAGGGCCAGGGUGCACAGGGCUGGAGGUGGCCAUGACUCCUGGGAGCAGGGUGACUCCGAGACCAGUGCCCCUCAGAAAUGCAUCAUUUUGGAUGAAAAUUAAGUUUCUAAGCUGACCGGCUUCUGUGCUGAUCAUUACCACUUGCAGAAGCCACUGUCAUUUUCCCGGCAAUUGCUUAUUUCACUAACACCUUGGCCGAUCUCGCUUGCGUUGCAGGACGCAUGACUGACUGUGCAAAGUGUGCAGCACAGGCUGGUAGCAACGGUGUCGCCUGGGCUGGGGAGAGACUCAGGCCGCAGGGCUUGCCCAGGCAUCCUGAGUCGGACUCUGGGUGUAACGGGUGACUGGGGCCUGUGGGAGUUCGGGAGGCACCGUUGUACCAGCUGCCCGGCAAGUCCUCGAUUGCUCUGGUCUCUGCCUUUCCUUGGCCGGGAAGAGUCUCGUGGUCACCUCCUGCGAGCAAUGCUUUGGGGUUUUAGUUUGAAAGCUCAUCUUGAGUAAGUGCGUGUUUGUGUCUGUCCACAUAGCUAUGUGCAUGCGUGUAUGUACUCAGGCACAUUCGUGUAUACGUGUGUGCAUGUGUUUCUGUUCCCCUGAGGCCUGCUAUGUUCAGUUAAGAAGAACGUGAAGACUCCCAGGUAGAUCUGCCUGGGUCCUGCCCCAGAACUGGCUGACAAAUGAACCCAUCUCUUGGAGCCUCAGUUUUUCGUCUGUUCGCUGGGCACAAGGAUACCAACCACACUUAGUUGUGGUGAGAAUAAAAGCACUGUCCAGAAGGCCUCUGGCCUGGUGCCUGGCACAUGGUGUACAUUUCAUCAGCCGCCCAAGAUUACGGUUGUCUCGAGUGUUUACAGAAGGCUCUGGGCAUCAUAAUGACAGGCAACGAGGUAGCCAGCAAGGAGACAGCUGAGGUCACCAGCCCUCCCCAUGACCCCGCCAACUCCAUGCAAAACCUUCCCUGUUUUCGGCAGUGACUAAGGUAACCCCAAACCAUUAUUUUUACAAAACCACCACCCAUACCAGCACUGGCUGAAAAUGUCCAACAUGGCUGCUGACCAUGUCCCUGAGGUGACCCAUAGCUAAUUAUAAUAACAUCUCCAUGGCUGACACUCCUACUCCCAGCAUGCACCUGACACCCAAAAGAUAAAAACUGGGAAGCAUUCGAGCCCCGCCUCCUGUGAAUCUUCUACUCCUUCUCUCUCUCUUUUUAUUUUUUUUUUUUACUUCUUCUUCUUUUUUUUUUUUUUUUUAACAGCCAGAGUGGACAGUGAGAGAGAGACAGAGAGAAAGGUCUUCUUUUGCCAUUGGUUCACCCUCCAAUGGCCGCCGCAGUCGGCGCACCACGCUGAUUUGAUGGCAGGAGCCAGGUGCUUCUCCUGGUCUCCCAUGGGGUGCAGGGCCCAAGCACUUGGGCCAUCCUCCACUGCACUCCCUGGUCACAGCAGAGAGCUGGCCUGGAAGAGGGGCAACCGGGACAGAAUCCAGUGCCCCGACCGGGACUAGAACCUGGUGUGCUGGUGCCACAAGGCGGAGGAUUAGCCUAGUGAGCCGCGGCGCAGGCUCCUUCUCUCUCUUGAGCUCACUGGGAAGGAAUCCCCAGAGCUCGUGUGCAGCUCUCUCUCUCGGGGCCUAGAACGCCUCCCUCUCCAGUCUGUGGUUUCAUUUUGCUAAUAAUAACCGCAUUCCUCUGCUAACCUUCACUUAAUCUCAUCCCUGAACGCUUCCUGUGUCAGAGGCACGAGCCUGGAGCCCGCCGUUUGACCAAGAGAGCAGCCUUUGAUCUCACGAAGCUUGAGUACCCCUGGGGCAAGACAUCCACAAGAUACGAAGUCAGGAGUGAGCGGUCGGCAGGGCCUGCGCUCAACACUGUGUCUCAGGGGAGAAGGCAGGGCCCAGGGCACCUGCAGGAAGACCGGCCGGGGCGGGACACUAGAAGUACCUGCCUGUGGGGGUGGGGCACAGCUCUGCCCCUUCUCCAAGAGAGGCCCUGAGGGUUCCGCUUUGUUUUUUGCUUUUUUAAGGAGCUGAGAUUUUUUUUUUUUUUGAGAUUUGGUUUUUUUAAAAAAGAUUUAUGUAUUUGUUGGAGAGGCAGAGUUACAGACAAGAGGGGGAGAGAGACAGAAAGAUCUUCCAUCCGCUGGUUCACUCCCCAGAUGGUCACAAUGGCCGGAGCUGGGCCAAUCUGAAGCCAGGAGCCAGGAGCUGCUUCUGGGUCUCCCACGUGGGUACUGGAGCCCAAGGACUUGGGCCAUCUUCCACUGCUUUCCCAGGUCACAGCAGAGACCUGGAUCAGAAAUGGAGCAGCCUGGUCUCACACCGGCAUCCAUAUGGACUGCUGGUGCCACAGGUGGAGGCUUAACCUCUUUUGCCACGGCGCUAGCCCAGAGGUUAGAUUUUUCGUCUUUGGGAAGCUCUGUCUUCCUUCUUAUUUCACGUUAGAGUCUCAGCAGGCGUGGAGGAUGGCUCGGAACUUUCUGGCUGCUGCUCAGAAGUCCCCUACAACUUCAUCACAGAUUUGGAAGGAUGGAAGUUUCACAAAUGAAUUCAAGGAAGACUUCCUGGAGGUGGUGACCCAAGUAUUGGUCCUCUACAAAUAAAGAGGCAGAAGGAGACUCGGGCAGAUCCAUGCUACCCAGUUCUGGCAGAAACCUGGAUGUAGAUUUCCAUGUGUGAAUGAUCUCUCGACUGAGACAAAUUUAAGCCAUCUGGGACCUUGGGUGACUGUUAGAUGGGACUGGAGUGUUUUGGGUUUGUGAAGUUCAAGAGCAGCGUGUGCUGGCUUCUGACAGAGAGAGGAAGGCUCGGCGGAUGGAGAAGUUUGUCCUCCUUGCUGCUCUUCCGGCUCUGGGCCAGCCCAGGGUGUUCAAACCGCAAGAACAAGGAUGCUUGUCUGAAGACAAGACAGCAGCCGCCCCUCGCCCUUGGCAAGACGCAGCCGGAGCAAAGGACGCUUGGUGUCUGACAAGUCCAACGCCGAGCGUGUGUGCCCACUCGGCUCAGUCCAGCCCAUGCCGGAGGAGGGUCUGCCUGUGCCAGGCCGGCAGCAGGGACAGCCGGCUCCAACCCUGCCCAGCGAGCCUGCAGGCGGUUUCAAAGUCCUGGCUGCAGGAUGCUGGCUUGCCGGGCAUCCGUUCUCCCUCCGGCUCAGCCAGUCCCGCGCUUCCUGAGCACCGGCUGUGUUCCCGGCACGGAGCUGAGUUCUGAGACUGGAGCGUGCUACCAAAUCAGGGAAGCUGGCCGACUUGGUGGAGGCGGGCUGGAUGCGAUGUGAAGACCAAAUCCCCCAGUACUUGACAAACAGGCUAGGAUUUGCAACUGCCGAGCUCCAUCGUGCAGCGUGAAAGCAACCGUGCGCAGUCCGGAAAGAGCGAGCGUGGCAGAAUUCCUAUAAAACUUUAUUUACAAAACCGGGCAGCAGGCUGCAUUUUGCCUGCCAGCUGUAGUCUGCCAAUGGCUGUUCCAAAUGGUCACAUCUCAGUACCGUAACACACAGGAACCAGAAGCAGGAGGAACCACACGAGCCCAGCCAUCCAUCCAUUCUCUGUAGGAACUGUCUCUACGCUGUCUCUGAGCAUGGGGAAGCCAUCGAACGGUUCUAAGUGGUUGGACUGGUCGGCCUCUGGAGUGAUGAUUCCACCUGAAGUGGAGCAACUGGACUGGAAGGGGUCAGCGCAGGUGCAGCUAGAACCAUCAGGAGGCUACUUUAGGUGAAUGGAGGUAGCUUGGACUAAUGUGGUGAUGGUGAUGGUGGAGGUGGUGGUGGUGGUGAUGGUGA